rnacentral:rRNA from 1 species
UAGGGAAUCUUCCGCAAUGGACGAAAGUCUGACGGAGCAACGCCGCGUGAGUGAAGAAGGUUUUCGGAUCGUAAAACUCUGUUGUAAGGGAAGAACAAGUACGUUAGUAACUGAACGUACCUUGACGGUACCUUACCAGAAAGCCACGGCUAACUACGAGCCAGCAGCCGCGGUAAUAAGUAGGUGGCAAGCGUUAUCCGGAAUUAUUGGGCGUAAAGCGCGCGUAGGCGGUCUCUUAAGUCUGAUGUGAAAGCCCCCGGCUCAACCGGGGAGGGUCAUUGGAAACUGGGAGACUUGAGUGCAGAAGAGGAGAGUGGAAUUCCAUGUGUAGCGGUGAAAUGCGCAGAGAUAUGGAGGAACACCAGUGGCGAAGGCGGCUCUCUGGUCUGUAACUGACGCUGAGGUGCGAAAGCGUGGGGAUCAAACAGG